AUUAAAAAUGUAGCUAUCUUCAUGUUACUAUGUUAAAGACCUUCUGUGUGUUUUGUUCUUUCUGUUUACUGAAAGAAAUUCACUUAAAAAUGACAUUUGUUGUCAUGACUCUUGCAUCUGACACCUGAGUUUGAGACUGAUUUUUGAGUCCUGACUUCCUGGGUUGGAACUAGCCGCACCUGCUGGUAAUCACACACCUGGUCCUGAUCAGCCACCCCCACCACUACUUAAGGAGAAACCAGACAUCCGUUCCUUGCUGGAUUGUUAAGCCGUGUACCGUCGGUUAAGCCUUAACAUCUAGCUCUAAGCCUUUUUGCCUUUACUAAUUUCUGUAUUCCUGUCUCCGUGCCUGAUGUAAAAAAAAUAAAAUAUAAACUGGC